rnacentral:lncRNA from 1 species
AAUUAUAAUUAACACCCUCUUAUUUCAUCACAACUCUUCACAUUCUUAUUUCAUAUUCCCAUAAUCAAAUAUUCCAUCAUAUAUUAAUUCCAUAUUACAUAUUCCCAUAUACAUUAAUUACCAUAAUUAAAUACACCCAACCAACAUAGCCGUUGGGUGUUCUUCUAUAUAAACACAUCUAACCCUAGUUCAAUUUAACACACGAUCAUACACACACACACUCUGUAAUACAAUUACAGACUCUGUGAUACUCUGUCUGAUCAUUCUGCAACUAUAACUGCUGAUCUUCAAACGCUUCCGCAAUACAACAACUUGAAUCACA